ensembl:lncRNA
AGAGUGCAUGGAAGACAACUUCCUGAUGUAGCUGGUAAGAGAGCCUACCAGGGGAGUGCCCCUCUAGAUCUCCUGUUCACAAAGGUCUGGUGGGAGAUGUGGGGAUUGGGAUCUGUCUUGCACAGAGUGAUCACGAAAUGGUAGAGUUCUCACUUCUCGGUGAAAUCAGGAGAGGGGCAGCAAAACUUCUACCUUGAACUUCCAGAGGGCAGCCUUUGAACUGCUCAGGACAUUGGUAGGGUGAGUCCCUUGGGAUUCAGCCCUGAAGGGUAAAGAGGUACAAGAUGCCGGUCACUCCUCAAGGAGUAAGUUUUAAAGGCACGGGAGCAGGCUGCCAGCCCAUUAAACCACACCAUCCUUUUGGCACCCAUUGUGGGGCUUGAAGGGUUGAGACAACAGGAGAUCUGACCAAUGUGUCAAAACAAAAUUAUUAUAAGCAUUACAUUAGGUUUCAUAAUUGCUGGUCACAGCAUUGAUUUUUCUGCUCUCAGAGUUGAUGUGCCUAUUUCCAAUGGUGUGCUAUGUAGUACCUUACUUUCUAUAUACUUAAUUGUGCUGCUGCUUAUCACCUCUGGGGACUGGAUUGAUAAUAAUUUUAUGUACUGCAUAACACUGCUUUAUGAAUGACUGGCAAAAGGACUCCACUGUGACUCACUCAUAGUCUCCAUGCAUCUCAGGAGACGGUACUUCAAGGACCCAAAAGAGUACCAAGGCUUUUGGUAUAGAUGCCUUGGAGAUGGAGGACAUUAAGCAGUUGUCUACCUUGCCUGGUCUCUCAGAGGAACCUUCUGUUGUGGGAUUGCUAAGAAUAGAACAGCAGGUGCAGAUCACUACUACAACAGUGUACUCAUGACAAUACUGCACCCAUCAGGACUCUCUGAUUCCAAUUCAUCAGUUGAUUUUUCAACUGAAGAACAAAGGAGUAAUCAGAAAGGCUUGCUCACCAACAGUCCCAUAUGUCCAAUACAAAAGCCCAGUGGAGAGUGGAGGCUAACAAUGGACUAUCAUGGCCUGAAUGAAGUCACACUACUGCUAAAUGCUGCUGUGCCAGACAUGCUAGAACUUCAAUGAAAAUUGGAGUCAAAGGCAGCCAAGUUGUAUGCCACAACUGACAUGCUUUUUUCUCAAUCCCUCUGGCAAUAGAGUGGAGGCCACAGUUUGCUUUCACCUGGAGGGGCAUCUAGUACACCUGGAACUGACAGCCCCAGGGGUGGAAACACAGCACUACCAUUUGUCAUAGGCUGAUCCAGACUGCUCUGAAAAAGGAGGAAGCUUCUAAACACCCACAAUCAUUGGUGGCAUCACUGUGUUGAGCAACACAGCAGAGGAAGCUUUUGAGAAAAGGAAGAAAAUAAUCCAAAUCCUAAUGAAAUCUGGUUUUGCCAUAAACAACAGUCAAGGGACCUACACAGGAAAUCCAGUUUUUAGGAAUUUUUAGGCCCCACUGUACAAUAUACUAGCAGAGAGUAAGAAGCAGCAUGCCUUGUUCACUGAUGGGUCCUGUCGCAUUGUGGGAAAGCGUCAGAUGUGGAAGGCUGCUGUAUGGAGCCAACAUGACAAGUCACAGAAACUGCAGGAUAAGAUGAAUGGAGCCAGUUUGCAGCAGUGAAGGCCAUCCAGCUGGCUUUAGACACUAGUGAACAAGAAAAGUGGCCAUGUUUUACCUCUACGCUGACUCCUGGAUAGUGGCCACCUCCUAUGGGGGUGAUUACAGCAAUGAAAGCAGAACAAAUGGCAGUGCAGUGGCAAACCCAUCUGAGCCACUGCACUGUGGAAAGAUACUGUUGCCUGAGUGGAGAACUUGGUUGCAAAGGCCUCAUGUAGAUAUUCACAUACCCAAAAGUCCUGCCGCUGAAGAAUAUCAAAACAACCAGCAGGUGGACCAGGCCAGUAGAACUAAAGUGACUCAGGUAGAUCUGCACUAGAAACAUAAGGGUGAAUUACUUCUAGCUCAUUUGACAUAUGAUACCUCAGGCCAUCAAGGAAAAGAUGCAACCAUUAGAUGGGCUAGGAAUUGAGUGGUGGACUUGACUAUGGACCUUACUGUACAGGUUAUCCAUGAAUGUGAAACAUGCUGUAAUCAAGCAAGCCAAACAGAUAAAGCCUCUUUGGUAUCGCGGACAGUGGCUGAAAUAUAAACAUAGAGAGGCCUGGCAGGUGGAUUAUAUCAGACCCACAAACCCACAAUGGCAAGUGUCAUGUGCUUGCAGUGGUGGAAGCAACCUCUGGAUGGAUGGAAACAUAUCCAGGGCCUUGAAAAGCAAGUCUUGUGGUGACAUGGUACCCCAGAAAGAAUUGAGUCCGACAAUGAGACUUUCCAAAACAACCUCAUCAACACCUGGGCCAAGGAGUGUGCACAGGUAUAUCACAUACCCUAUCCCGCAUCAUAUAAUACAAUGGACUGUUCAAGACUAUACUGAGAGCAACAGGUACUGGCAUAUUUAAACACCGGGAUACACAUUUAGUAAAAGCCAUCUGGUUAGUCAACAGUGGGGAGUCUGCCAAUCAAGCUGGCCCUGCCCACUCAAAACUCCUAUGUCCUGUAGAGGGAAAUAAAGUACCUGUAAUGCACAUGAAUAACAUGCUGGGCAAGAUAGUUCUGGUUAUUCCUGCCUUGAACAAAGGCUAGCCCAUCCAUGGGACUGCUUUUGCUCAAGGACGUGAGUGCACUUGGUGGGUAAUGUGGAAGGAUAUGGAAGUCUGCUGUGUACCCCUCACUUCAAAGGCAAUUUGAGGAUGAGUGAGCAUAACCAAUUAUUUCAAUUGUAUUAUGCUAAUUGCUACCUAAUACUGCAUGUCAUCACUACAAGGUUUGCUAUAUGCCUUAUCAAUGGUUUUGCUUCAAGAAUCAUCUACAUUAAAGAAGAAUGAAUUCUGAUGGAAGCAGAACGGGCUUCAGCAUAGAAUCAUAGAAUCACAGAAUCACAAGGUUGGAAAGGACCUACAAGAUCAUCUAGUCCAACCGUCCUCCCAUUAAUGUUACUACCACAAGCUAAUAAAUCACAUCUCGUAGCUUC